rnacentral:rRNA from 1 species
AGCGAGGAAAGAACCAACAGGGAUUGCCUCAGUAACGGCGAGUGAAGCGGCAACAGCUCAAAUUUGAAAUCUGGCCCUUUCAGGGUCCGAGUUGUAAUUUGCAGAGGGUGCUUUGGCGUCGGCCGUGGUCUAAGUUCCUUGGAACAGGACGUCACAGAGGGUGAGAAUCCCGUACGUGGCCGCCGGUCUUCGCCGUGUAAAGCCCCUUCGACGAGUCGAGUUGUUUGGGAAUGCAGCUCUAAAUGGGAGAUACAUUUCUUCUAAAGCUAAAUAUUGGCCAGAGACCGAUAGCGCACAAGUAGAGUGAUCGAAAGAUGAAAAGCACUUUGGAAAGAGAGUCAAAAAGCACGUGAAAUUGUUGAAAGGGAAGCGCUUGCAGCCAGACGUGCCCGCAGUUGCUCACCCGGGCUCUCGCCCGGGGCACUCUUCUGCGGGCAGGCCAGCAUCAGUUCGGGCGGUUGGAUAAAGGCCUCUAUCACGUACCACCCUUCGGGGUGUCCUUAUAGGGGAGGCGCAACACGGCCAGCCUGAACUGAGGACCGCGCAUCAGCUAGGAUGCUGGCGUAAUGGCUGUAAGCGGCCCGUCUUGAAACACGGACCAAGGAGUCUAACAUCUAUGCGAGUGUUUGGGUGUCAAGCCCGGGCGCGCAAUGAAAGUGAACGGAGGUGGGAACCCUUUGGGUGCACCAUCGACCGAUCCUGAAGUCUUCGGAUGGAUUUGAGUAAGAGCAUAGCUGUUGGGACCCGAAAGAUGGUGAACUAUGCCUGAAUAGGGUGAAGCCAGGGGAAACCCUGGUGGAGGCUCGCAGCGGUUCUGACGUGCAAAUCGAUCGUCAAUUUGGGCAUAGGGGCGAAAGACUAAUCGAACAUCUAGAGCUGUC